rnacentral:rRNA from 1 species
UGGGGAAUAUUGCACAAUGGGGGAAACCCUGAUGCAGCGACGCCGCGUGAACGAAGAAGGUAUUCGUAUCGUAAAGUUCUGUCCUAUGGGAAGAUAAUGACAGUACCAUAGAAGAAAGCUCCGGCUAAAUACGUGCCAGCAGCCGCGGUAAUACGUAUGGAGCGAGCGUUGUCCGGAAUUAUUGGGCGUAAAGGGUACGCAGGCGGUUUAAUAAGUCGAAUGUUAAAGAUCGGGGCUCAACCCCGCAAAGCAUUGGAAACUGAUAAACUUGAGUAGUGGAGAGGAAAGUGAAAUUCCUAGUGUAGUGGUGAAAUACGUAGAUAUAAGGAGGAAUACCAGUAGCGAAGGCGACUUUCUGGACACAAACUGACGCUGAGGUACGAAAGCGUGGGGAGCAAACAGG